GACGCUUGCCAAACAGAGCGCACUCAAAAUUAGGAGAAGCAAGCCACCUAAAAACCUUUUUAGGCAUGACACUGCAUGCUUACUGGUGAUAUUACUGCUCCUACUUUAUCAGAAGUGGAUUCAAGUUGAGGCUGACCAUACAACUGUGUAAUGCUUUUUUGGGAGAAAAAGUAACCUGAUGGAGUUUAUGGACGAUGCAAUCGUUUGUUCUCCUCGCUUCUCUGUGUGGAUGCGUCCUUUGCUCAGUCUGGCCUUAUCAGAUGCAGUGUUACCACUGUGAAGAGACUCUGUUGGACAAUGACUGUUCAGCUCCAAAAUUCAUUGUCAACUGCACAGCAAACAUCCAGAAUGCCUGUCAGAAGGAGGUGAUUGUGGGUGAAAAUGGUGUGAUUUACAGGAAGGCCUGUGCCUCCUUCUCCACCUGUCUGAUUGUUUCAGCAGGGUAUCAGUCUUUCUGUGUCCCAGGUCGGGUGGGCUCUGUCUGCAUUAGCUGCUGUAACACCCCCCUCUGCAACGGACCCCGCCCCCCCAGGAUCUCCCUGGCCCCCAGCCAUCCCCCCACUGCACUCCUCCUCAUCAUCACUGUUUCCAUGGCAACACUGCCCUGAUAUGGACACUGGUAUUGUCUAGAUUGGACUGAAUGUUCUCAGGUGUGGAGGUGCCUGGUGUUGGAGCAAACACUGUCCUGAGAGAUGACUGGACAAGGAUUCUGAAAUCAAAGCAACAGAGCUGUCCGACACAUACCGGUCCGUUGACGGAAGUGAGAAAUUUAGGAAGUAUAUUAAGUCUGACCCAAAAGUUCUUAAAUAUGUUGCAUCCAUAGUAAAUUACACUUUAAUCAUUUGUGCAGACUGCACCGAAUCAAAUAACUAGUGUUUAUAUCCCAGAGAUGACAGGGUACAUUCAGUACUAUACACAAUGUUUACAGUUAGGAUGACACACUUGGUGUACAAAGAAAAUUAGGAACACUUUCUAAUAUUAAGUUACAUUCCUUUUUACCCUCAGAACAGCCUCAAUUCAUCAGGGCAUGGACUCUACAAGGUGUCGAAAGCGUUCCACAGGGAUGCUGGCCCAUGUUGAUGCCAAAUGCUUCCCACAGUUGUGUCAAGUUACCAUUUUUGAUACACACACACACAGGAAACGGUUGCGCAUGAAAAACCCAGUAGCAUUGCAGUUCUUGGCAGAAACCGGUGUGCCUGGCACCUACCAUACCUCGUUCAAAGGCACUUUGGUCUUUCCCGUUUACCCUCUGAAUGGCACACAUACACAACCCAUGACUCAAAGCUUAAUGUCUCCUCCCCUUCAUCUACACUGAUUGAAGUGGAUUUAACAGAUGACAUCAGUAAAGGAUAGCUUUCACCUGGUCAGUCUCAUGGAAAGAGCAGUUGUUCCUAAUGGUUUUGUACACUGUCAGAUAGAAGUGACUAAACCCUGUUAAAAAUCCCCAUAGGGAUGGAUGUGUGCUACUUUGCAACCAUUAUUAAAACAUGAGCAUAAGUGUCAUUGACUUAAUCAACCUUUAUUUUAACAAAUUUAAAUUACAUUAAAUGUAGCAGAAUUACAAAAGUAAUUCCCAUAAAAGCAAAACUAAUUUCACAGUAUAAGAUAUGCAGUUUUCAUUUUUGAAACAGUAAAAUCCUCAGUUGAAAAGCAACAGGUGAUUAGUUUGGUAAACUUGUAUUGUUAUUGGCACUUCUAAGAAAAUAAAGCAUUGAGCUGCAUAGCAGAGGAUGUUUGACUGCCAGAUUAUCUGUUCAAUGUCAUUCAAUUAAAAAAGGUUAAAAAAAAAAUGACUACGACCCAUAUCAGAAAAAGUACAUUUCACGUCAUCUAGAUUACCAACAUCAAGCGAGAGGUUGAAACAUUUGUAAUGGCUAAUCCUUUAGCCAAGCUAUUCCUGGGUAGAUGAGGACAAGCUCUGACUGGUAACUGGAUGCUAUGCAAUGUGAUUCAGUGAGUUAAUUGACUUUGGCAGUACUGCCAAACCUUCUCAAUUAAUCCCGUAACCCCUGUCACAGGGGAUUCUCUCAAUAAAACCAAGUGCACCUUGAAAAUAAAUGUUGUUACCCCUGCACAUAGGGAAUAACAUGAAGAUUAGUGGGAUUUCUUUCAUAUCACCUAAUUAAUUACAUGAAACACAGAUUCUCUACUGAUCACCUCUAUUUCAAGCACUGAAUCUUUGUUAGUUUUGGAAAGAGAACAAGCUUGACAAAAUUCAUUAUCAGGAAAAUAUAUCACACUUCUCAAUACAAGUCCAUCCAUAAAACAUCAUUUCUUGACACCAUAGCAGACAACAUCACCAGCAA